AAAACGACUCUCGGCAACGGAUAUCUCGGCUCACGCAUCGAURAAGAACGUAGCAAAAUGCGAUACUUGGUGUGAAUUGCAGAAUCCCGUGAACCAUCGAGUUUUUGAACGCAAGUUGCGCCCGAAGCCACCCGGUUGAGGGCACGUCUGCCUGGGCGUCACGC
rnacentral:rRNA from 1 species